AAUUUUGGACAAUGGGGGAAACCCUGAUCCAGCCAUCCCGCGUGUAUGAUGAAGGCCUUCGGGUUGUAAAGUACUUUUGGCAGAGAAGAAAAGGUAGCCCCUAAUACGGGAGACUGCUGACGGUAUCUGCAGAAUACGCACCGGAUAAAUUCGUGCUAGCUGCCGCGGUUAGACGUAGGGUGCAAGCGUUAAUCGGAAUUACUGGGCGUAAAGCGUGUGUAGGCGGUUCGGAAAGAAAGAUGUGAAAUCCCAGUGCUCAACCUUGGAACCGCAUUUUUAACUGCCGAGCUAGAGUAUGUCAGAGGGGGGUAGAAUUCCAAGUGUAGCAGUGAAGUGCGUAGAUAUGUGGAGGAAUACCGAUGGCGAAGGCAGCCCCCUGGGAUAAUACUGACGCUCAGACACGAAAGCGUGGGGAGCAAACAGG
rnacentral:rRNA from 1 species